rnacentral:rRNA from 1 species
UACGGAAUGUGCAAACGUUAUUCGGAAUCACUGGGCUUAAAGAGUCCGUAGGCGGCAUGUUAGGUGAGGUGUGAAAUCCCCCGGCUCAACCGAGGAAUUGCGCUUCAAACCGGCGUGCUUGAGGAAGAUAGAGGUGGGCGGAGCUGAUGGUGGAGCGGUGAAAUGCGUUGAUAUCAUCAGGAACACCGGAGGCGAAGGCGGCCCACUGGGUCUUUUCUGACGCUGAGGGACGAAAGCUAGGGGAGCGAACGGG